rnacentral:rRNA from 1 species
GAAACCUGGUUGAUCCUGCCAGUAGUCAUAUGCUUGUCUCAAAGAUUAAGCCAUGCAUGUCUAAGUAUAAGCACCCUUAUACUGCGAAACUGCGUACAGCUCAUUAUAUCAGCAAUUAUUUAUUUGAAGGUCACCUAUUACAUGGAUAACCGUGGUAAUUCUAGAGCUAAUACAUGCGAAAAGUCGGCGCAAGU